CCUGCCCCCAGGAGGCUGAGAGCAGCUGGGGUUCAGGCCUGGCAGGAUGGGGAGGGGCUGGUCCCUUCUCCUUCUUGGGCUCCUGCUGCAGGUCCAGUCUCCCUGUGCCGGGCAGGCCGGGGGGGCAGGGUCUAGCGUACCCCCCUGGCCAGCAGCAUCCAGCCCCACACCUCAGACCUGGGCUACAAGCGCUGAGACGCCCGCAGGGACUGGCACCCCCACCGAGGGGGCUACAGCACCAGAUGAGCCCAGCUGUGGCAGUGGGCAGCCCUGUCCCCCUUGGAGCACCUGCGUGUCCUGGGCUGGGCACUUCUCCUGCCGCUGCGCCCUGGGCUUCCAUCUCAGCCGGACCGCGGGCUGCG